rnacentral:rRNA from 1 species
GACGAACGCUGGCGGCGUGCUUAACACAUGCAAGUCGAGCGGUAAGGCCCUUUCGGGGGUACACGAGCGGCGAACGGGUGAGUAACACGUGGGUGACCUGCCCUUAGCUCUGGGAUAAGCCUGGGAAACUGGGUCUAAUACCGGAUAUGACUCCAUGACGCAUGUUGUGGGGUGGAAAAGCCUUGUGCGGCUAGGGAUGGGCCCGCGGCCUAUCAGCUUGUUGGUGGGGUGAUGGCCUACCAAGGCGACGACGGGUAGCCGGCCUGAGAGGGCGACCGGCCACACUGGGACUGAGACACGGCCCAGACUCCUACGGGAGGCAGCAGUGGGGAAUCUUGCGCAAUGGCGAAAGCCUGACGCAGCGACGCCGCGUGAGGGAUGACGGCCU